GAAACACACAGAGCAUGCAGAGUUAUAGUAAGAAAUUCUAAAAGGAUUGGCAAGACUUUAAUUUCUGUUGGCUGUAAAGAGCAGCAGUGCUUCACUGGGUGAGCAUGCACACUGAAGGACCUACCAUACAUGAUGUUAUUAGCAUCUUAUAGUUUUUCUGGCAAGAUACACAGUUGUUCUUCGGUAUCUCUUCUACUAUGUGACCUGGGAAACAGUGAUGUUGUUUCUUUUUAAGAAAAGACUUUUCUAUAAAUGGUAAAAAUAACCUUCAAUAAGUCACUGACUUUCCAGGACUCCUAUCCCACAGCACCUGGAGACCAUGGGAUCCACAGGGUGCAAACACAAGGGGAUGGAGCCUCCUCAGCCAGGGUCCCUGUGACACUAUGUGCAGCUGUCCUUGCCUGGCCCUGGAGGAAACAGUCUGAGCAAGAUUCUGUGUUGCCUGCUGUGACAUGGGCAGUGGUGACAUCUAUCCUCCCUAAGUGCUCUGAAUGCACAAAAGAAAACUUAAGUGACAGCAGCGAGAGGCCACAGGGUCUUGUUCAUUUCCUAUAAUGAGGCUGUCUUAAUAGGUAAAAGUGUGAAAUUAACUUAUGCUUGAAAUAUAGAUCAGCCUCUCCAGGACUGAGGGGAUGGUGAGUGUAUUUGCAGGUGCACGUCGCCCUCUUGUGGGCAAGAAGUGGAACAUCCUAGGGCAGGAUUCAGUGAGAGGAACCUGAGGUGAGCCACCUCUGUGUCCACAGGGUCCUGUGCCCUCUGCUGUCCACACUGAUGCGCUGCAGCUCCAGGAAGACAGCUCGCCCACCUGUCCACCUCAUGACUCAAUCCCAGAGUAAAGCUCAGAAAGCAGCUGCUUCACCUGGGAGCCAGGGAAGAGGCCAGAGCAGCAAUGUCUGCUCAGGUCAUUCAGUGAGUUCAAGCAGAGCUGAGGCCAAACCAGGUGUCACCAGAUAAUCUCGUGCACAUCCUCCAGUCCAGUGUCCAGAAAAAUGGCAGGACAAAAUACAUCCAACAUAUAUCUUUUUAAAACGUAGCCGAUUUUUUAAAUAACUUUAUCUAUUUAUUUAUUUAUUAGUGGUGCUGAAGUUUGACCCUGAUACCUCACCAUUACUAGGCAAGCCCUGUAGCCCUGAGCCACAUCCCAAGCCCCCAACAUGGUUAUUUAUAAAUACUCUACAUUUAUGUCAUUAGAUCCUUUCAGAUGGGACAUUUCUUUUUUUCACCUAAGAUCAGUCUGAAGUGAAUAAAUACCUUCCUCUCC
rnacentral:lncRNA from 1 species